UACGGGGGGAGCAAGCGUUGUUCGGAUUUACUGGGCGUAAAGCGCGCGUAGGCGGCCAGAUAAGUCCGGUGUGAAAGUCACAGGCUCAACCUGUGAAUGCCGCUGGAAACUGUCUGGCUAGAGUCCGGAAGGGCGAGUGGAAUUCCUGGUGUAGCGGUGAAAUGCGCAGAUAUCAGGAGGAACACCAGUGGCGAAGGCGGCUCGCUGG
rnacentral:rRNA from 1 species